rnacentral:rRNA from 1 species
CCUACGGGUGACUGCAGUGAGGAAUAUUGGUCAAUGGGCGCGCGCCUGACGCAGCAACGCCGCGUGAACGAGACGCCCUUCGGGGUGUAAAGUUCUGUCAGUGGGGACGAAAAAUGACGGUACCCACAGAGGAAGCACCGGCUAACUCCGUGCCAGCAGCCGCGGUAAUACGGAGGGUGCAAGCGUUGUCCGGAAUCAUUGGGCGGAAAGAGUUCGUAGGCGGCUUGUAAAGUCAGGUGUUAAAGGCGCAGGCUCAACCUGUGUAUGGCACUUGAUACUUGCAAGCUUGAAUGCGGUAGAGGUAAGGGGAAUUCCUGGUGUAGCGGUGAAAUGCUUAGAUAUCAGGAGGAACAUCGGUGGCGUAGGCGCUAUACUGGGGCGUAAUUGACGCUGAGGAACGAAAGCCAGGGUAGCAAAUGGGAUUAGAUACCCUAGUAGUC